rnacentral:rRNA from 1 species
GAUGAACGCUGGCGGCGUGCCUAAUACAUGCAAGUCGAGCUAACAGACGAGGCGCUUGCUCCGCUGACGUUAGCGGCGGACGGGUGAGUCACACGUGGAUAACCUACCUAUAAGACUGGGAUAACUUCGGGAAACCGGAUCUAAUACCGGAUAAGAUAUUGAACCGCAUGGUUCAUUAGUGAAAGACGGUUUUGCUGUCACUUAUAGAUGUAUCCGCGCCGCAUUAGCUAGUUGGUAAGGUAACGGCUUACCAAGGCGACGAUGCGUAGCCGACCUGAGAGGGUGAUCGGCCACACUGGAACUGAGACACGGUCCAGACUCCUACGGGAGGCAGCAGUAGGGAAUCUUCCGCAAUGGGCGAAAGCCUGACGGAGCAACGCCGCGUGAGUGAUGAAGGUCUUCGGAUCGUAAAACUCUGUUAUUAGGGAAGAACAAAUGUGUAAGUAACUAUGCCCGUCUUGACGGUACCUAAUCAGAAAGUCCCGGCUAACUACGUG